rnacentral:rRNA from 1 species
GACGAACGCUGGCGGCGUGCCUAACACAUGCAAGUCGAGCGGAGCGGCGGACGGGUGAGUAAUGCCUAGGAAUCUGCCUGGUAGUGGGGGAUAACGUCCGGAAACGGGCGCUAAUACCGCAUACUAUCAGAUGAGCCUAGGUCGGAGUAGCUAGGUGGUGGGGGAAAGGCCUACCAAGGCGACGAUCCGUAACUGGUCUGAGAGGAUGAUCAGUCACACUGGAACUGAGACACGGUCCAGACUCCUACGGGAGGCAGCAGUGGGGAAGAUGGGACAAUGGGCGAAAGCCUGAUCCAGCCAUGCCGCGUGUGUGAAGAAGGUCGUCGGAGUGUAAAGCACUUUAAGUUGGGAGGCGUUACCAACAGAAUAAGCACCGGCUAACUUCGUGCCAGCAGUCGCGGUAAUUC